UACGUAGGGUGCGAGCGUUGUUCGGAUUCAUUGGGCGUAAAGGGUGCGUAGGCGGCGCGGUAAGUCGGGUGUGAAAUCUUGGAGCUUAACUCCGAAACUGCAUUCGAUACUGCCGUGCUUGAGGACUGGAGAGGAGACUGGAAUUUACGGUGUAGCGGUGAAAUGCGUAGAUAUCGUAAGGAAGACCAGUGGCGAAGGCGGGUCUCUGGACAGUUCCUGACACUGAGACACGAAGGCCAGGGGAGCAAACGGG
rnacentral:rRNA from 1 species